GGGUGAGUAACACGUGGGUAACCUGCCUCAAAGUGGGGGAUAGCCUUCCGAAAGGAAGAUUAAUACCGCAUAAAGCCAAGUUUCACAUGGAAUUUGGAUGAAAGGAGUAAUUCGCUUUGAGAUGGACCCGCGGCGCAUUAGUUAGUUGGUGGGGUAAUGGCCUACCAAGACAGCGAUGCGUAUGCCGACCUGAGAGGGUGAUCGGCCACAUUGGAACUGAGAUACGGUCCAGACUCCUACGGGAGGCAGCAGUGGGGAAUAUUGCACAAUGGGCGAAAGCCUGAUGCAGCAACGCCGCGUGAGUGAUGAAGGUCUUCGGA
rnacentral:rRNA from 1 species